UUGAUCACAGGACCCCUUUACACUCGUAAAUAAAUUAUUGAUGUACCAGACAGCCUGACCCUGACCUAAAGUAAAUUCCCAGGAGAAGUCUUUCCUGGGUUUUGAAUUUGCCAUAACAGGCGUGAGCAUUCUAGCAGCAGUUUGGUGAUCAUGUAUGAUACCGCAAAUAGGA
ensembl:scaRNA